rnacentral:rRNA from 1 species
AUUGAACGCUGGCGGCAGGCCUAACACAUGCAAGUCGAACGAGUGGCGGACGGGUGAGUAAUGUCUGUGAAACUGCCUGAUGGCGGGGGAUAACUCCGGGAACCGGUAGUUAAUACCGCAUACCAUCAGAUGUGCCCAGAUGGGAUUAGCUAGUUGGUGGGGUAACGGCUCACCAAGGCGACGAUCCCUAGCUGGUCUGAGAGGAUGACCAGCCACACUGGAACUGAGACACGGUCCAGACUCCUACGGGAGGCAGCAGUGGGGAAUAUUGCACAAUGGGCGCAAGCCUGAUGCAGCCAUGCCGCGUGUAUGAAGAAGGCCUUCGGGUUGUAAAGUACUUUCAGCGGGGAGGCGUUACCCGCAGAAGAAGCACCGGCUAACUCCGUGCCAGCAGCCGCGGUAAUUC